AACCCCUCAAGCAUUGCUUGGUGUUGGGUGUUUGUCUAUACCGAUAGUGUAGACUCGCCCUAAAAGCAUUGGCAGUAGUUUGCCGGCCUCUCGCGCAGCACUUUGCGCUUUUUGAGGUUUUGGCGGGCUUACUUCCAUCAAGAUCUUUACUA
rnacentral:misc_RNA from 1 species